ACAGUCGAUAACCAUCAUGCCUCCAUAAAUGUCAAAUAUGCCAUCGAUGUAGAAACUUUUGAGAUAUUAGCGUUGCUUUUUGACAUCCGCUGGGUACAGUAAACUAGUGUUUACUUUAAAUCCACAGACACACACAUUCAUAUACAAGACAAGUUAUCAUUCCCGACAUACCUUUUAAAGGUAUAGUCAAAUCACAGACCUUUUGUUUCCAUAGAAACACACAAAGCAAUCAACAUUUUCAUCAGGAGCCUCAGACGUGUUGGAACCUACAAUCUCUGAAAUCUGUCACGCGUUUUUCUUUUCACUUAAAGGUCUCUACAAAGGUGACACACUGCAGAUACUGAUUAUUGGAUUGUUAUUGGCGUGUUUAGUGCUCGUCAUAAUUUAUACUUUGUUAUAUUAUGUUAUAUUUGAUUUGUGUUCAUUUGGUGCAUAGAAUUUUCUUUCCAUAUGUUCUUGAAUUGUGUCAUGCAUGUAUUUUGGUUGUUUUUUCCUUCUGCCGGUCUCCGCCAGACUGGAGGCGGUGACGGGCCAAUGGCGUGGCGAGUUAUCUUCCACUCCAGACACGGAAGAUAACCAGCCGAUGAGAGCGAAGCGAGGGGGCGAUUCAGACAAAAGCCACCUAAUAGAAGCGUAGGGAGAAAGCAACGUCAAUACAAGAAUAGUCUAUGCUGGUUUUCGAAGCGAGACAGCCAUCUGAUAAACCAGUGGGCCAAGAGUGCUACAGGCUUUAUUAGCUAAAUUUUGAUCACUAGAUUGGCUGCAUAUGAGAAGAUGUCUAUCCUGCUAGUCAGAGAAAAGAGAUACUCUCUCCAUCAGGGGAUUGGUUCCCCGCGACCUCUCUCAGUUUCGGGAAGAGGAAAGACGGACAUGAAGUGAGACGCUGCCAGCUGACUCCAGAGAAGUUGUAAAUGUGUCUUUGACAAAAUAAACAAAAAGUCAAAGGGCUUUCUUGUCAUUCAUGUAAUCACAAUUACAAUAUAAAGAAAAUUUAACGUUUUCAUUAAAUGUAUGCAGUUUUUUAUCUUAAAGCCUAACCACUUUAUCUUUCUGGUACUCAAUUAGUGUGAAAACCAUUUAAAGAGCACUACAUGGACAAACGAAAAGCAAAUGUUGAUGUUAUUAUAAUAAAAAAUAACUUUAAUUAAGUGGAAGAACAACUGCACGUAUAUCUACAUUAAAUAAUUAACAUUUUCAUAUUAUAAUUCAGCUGUGGGUCAGGAGGUA